rnacentral:rRNA from 1 species
GAGCUUGCUCCUUUGGAUCAGUGGCGAACGGGUGAGUAACACGUGAGUAACCUGCCCCAGACUCUGGGAUAAGCACUGGAAACGGUGUCUAAUACCGGAUACGAGCUUCAGCCGCAUGGCUAGGAGCUGGAAAGAAUUUCGGUCUGGGAUGGACUCGCGGCCUAUCAGCUAGUUGGUGAGGUAAUGGCUCACCAAGGCGACGACGGGUAGCCGGCCUGAGAGGGUGACCGGCCACACUGGGACUGAGACACGGCCCAGACUCCUACGGGAGGCAGCAGUGGGGAAUAUUGCACAAUGGGCGCAAGCCUGAUGCAGCAACGCCGCGUGAGGGACGACGGCCUUCGGGUUGUAAACCUCUUUUAGUAGGGAAGAAGCGAAAGUGACGGUACCUGCAGAAAAAGCACCGGCUAACUACGUGCCAGCAGCCGCGGUAAUACGUAGGGUGCAAGCGUUAUCCGGAAUUAUUGGGCGUAAAGAGCUCGUAGGCGGUUUGUCGCGUCUGCUGUGAAAACUGGAGGCUCAACCUCCAGCCUGCAGUGGGUACGGGCAGACUAGAGUGCGGUAGGGGAGAUUGGAAUUCCUGGUGUAGCGGUGGAAUGCGCAGAUAUCAGGAGGAACACCGAUGGCGAAGGCAGAUCUCUGGGCCGUAACUGACGCUGAGGAGCGAAAGCAUGGGGAGCGAACAGGAUUAGAUACCCUGGUAGUCCAUGCCGUAAACGUUGGGAACUAGAUGUAGGGACCAUUCCACGGUUUCUGUGUCGCAGCUAACGCAUUAAGUUCCCCGCCUGGGGAGUACGGCCGCAAGGCUAAAACUCAAAGGAAUUGACGGGGGCCCGCACAAGCGGCGGAGCAUGCGGAUUAAUUCGAUGCAACGCGAAGAACCUUACCAAGGCUUGACAUAUACCGGAAAAGUUCAGAAAUGUUCUCCCCGCAAGGUCGGUAUACAGGUGGUGCAUGGUUGUCGUCAGCUCGUGUCGUGAGAUGUUGGGUUAAGUCCCGCAACGAG